ACGCUCUCGAAUGCCGGUCCCUGUGCGCCGUCCACACCCGCCUGGCAGCCGCUUGCUAGGUCUUGUUAGCC
rnacentral:sRNA from 2 species